GCCAUAUCUGGUUAUAUAAAGGAGGUACCAGGCGUAGUUCGUUCUUUCGCGUCUGCGGUGCUCUUAAAGUGUUGGUGCUGUGGGUUGCGGCCACGCUUCAUACGCCAUCGUCUUUCCCGUUAGAGCAGCCAGAGGGGACAAUGGAUUUUGGAGGAGGGGGUCACCACUGGGCCUCCAAGGAAACCACGUGCAGACAUCUACAACCUUGGAUCUCCUGAGUAAGCCUUAGUCUCCUGUGGGCCGAUUGUAGAAAACACGUGCUUUGAGAACCUUUAGUUUCCUAGGUUUGCUGUUGGCCAAAACCAGGCUUUGAUUGGACCAGGAUGAAUCUGGGUGUGGGAAAUAGAAUAUAUGUAUGUAAUUGGUUGAGCCACGUGUGCCAGUGUGUUGUCAGCUUGAUCUUUGCUUGAUUCAUUCUGCCUUGUAACAGAUAUUGCCUGCCUGUAUUCCUCUAGUAGUGGCAACAAUUGCCAGAGAAGAUGGAGCAGGUCCCCCCAGGACUUGCAACUCCAGCCUGUGUCUGCAGCGGGUGCUGUAGGUACUGAUUUCUCCACCUCAUGGUGAGAGGCCUUCCUCUUGGGCCUGGAAAGAGGGAAGUCCAAGUCUGUCUGGCAGAGGUGUUGCAGAUGGGCAAGUUUUUCAGACACUGUCUAGCACUUCUGGGACUGCAGCAGUGGAGGCUGCAGAAGGCCAGUUCCCCAGGUGCGGGCUUCUGACACUAUCACUUCCAGACUCCUCAUACAACAAAUGACCCCUAAACAGAUUUAUCCACAAUCUCUCCAUCCUAAGAAGUCAGUGAUCAGUUUUCACUUUUGCAUGUUCCCUUCUGUCCCCAUUAUUUUCCCAUAGUGGGGCAGCUACUACCUGCAUGGUUGGAGCUUCAUAUAUAUAUAUAUUUAUUUUAUUAUUUUUUUUUUUUAAGAUGGGAUUUCACCAUGUUGGUCAGGCUGGUCUUGAACUCCCGACCUCAGGUUAGCUGCCCACCUUGGCUUCCAGAGUGCUUGGAUUACAGGUGUAAGCUACCGUGCCCGGCCAAGCUUCCCAUUUUUAAAGAGGCCAGAAAUCCUAGUGCUUUAUUUAUUUAUUUAAGAGACGGGGUCUCGCUAUGUUGCCCAGGCUGGAGUGCAGUGGCUAUUCACAGGCGCGAUCCCACUACUGAUCAGCACAGGAGUUUUGACCUGAUCCGUUUCCGACCUGGGCCGGUUCACCCCUCCUUAGGCAACCUGGUGGUCCCCCGCUCCCAGGAGGUCACCAUAUUGAUGCCGAACUUAGUGCGGACACCCGAUCAGCAUAGCGCACUGCAGCCCAGAACUCCUGGGCUCAAGCGAUCCUCCCACCUCAGCCUCCCGAGUAGCUGGGACUACAGGCACGCGCCACCGCGCCCGGCCCUAGUUCUUUAAAAUGUUGGCAGCCUGUUCCAGUUUUAUAAACUGAAGACUGAGCAACACACAUGCACAUGGGCCUCAUAUGGUCUGGAGGCCACUAGUUGGAGAUCUCUGUAGUUUGAGCUGUGUCUCUUUCAGCACUGUUCUUGUCAUUCCUGAGCUGGGAUGCCAGCUGAAACAUAGAAUGCUCAGUUAAAUUUGAAUUUCUUCUUUUCUUAGAGUCUUGCUUUGUCACCCAGGCUGGAGUGCAGUGGCACGAUCUCAGGCCACUGCAACCUCCACCUCUGAGGUUCAAGUGAUUCAUAUACCUCAGCCUCCCAAGUAGCUGGGAUUAUAGAUGUGUACCACCACCCCCAGCUAAUUUUUGUUAAAUUUGAAUUUCAGAUAACAAGUAAUUUUUUAGGGUAAGUAUGCCCCAUGCAAUAUUGGGGACAUAGUAAAAAGUUACUUGUUGUUUACUUCAAAUUCUAAUUUAACUAGGAGUUGUAUGUUUUUACUUUCUAAAUUGCCCCAUUCCCAGAACACCUGAUUUGGGAUGAUGGCAUUCAUUUUUUUUUUUUUUUUUUUUUUUUUUUUCUUGAGAUGGAGUUUCGCUCUUUUUGCCUGGGCUGGACUGCAAUGGUGCAAUCUUGGCUCACUGCAACCUCCACCUCCCAGGUUCAAGUGGUUCUCCUGCCUUAGUCUCCCAAGUAGCUGGGAUUACAGGCGUCUGCCACCACACUAGGCUAAUUUUUGUAUUUUUAGUAGAGAUGGGGUUUUUCCAUGUUGGCCAGGCUGGUCUUGAACUCCUAACCUCACAUGAUCCACCCACCUUGCCUCCCAAAGUGCUGGGAUUGUAGGCAUGACCCAUUCUGCCUGGCCAAGGGCAUUCAUUCUUUAAGAUGCAGGCUCCGUGGACCUCAUACCUUACUGAUUUCCAUAUUCUUUGCUGACUUGGGUUUUUCCUGCAAAAUUGAGGGAAACUGAGGUUUGUGUAGUUUCCUGAUGGCUAGUUUCCCUGGCUUCAAAGCCUGGGUGAGUGGAAUUGGCAGAGUCUGCGGCCAACCUGACCCAUCCUCUGAUCAUAGUCCCCCAUGGUCCUGAUAUUAAUUAACCAGAGGUCUGUUUAGAAGGUGGCAGAAACAGACCAUCUUGGGCUUAUUUAUAUCUUUUUUUAAAAGAGAGAAAAGGAGAAAUCUGGAUUCUUUCCCUUGUCAGUCUCCUUUAACCAAAUGGUCUUUUGCUAAAAUAGACUGGCCUGACUGUAUUGGUAGGAAGGGUUGAGAUGGGAGUGGGCCAAGUGGGCAAGAACAUUUUUUUUUUUUUGCCCUGAUGUUAAAAUUGCAGCAAAUGCAAUCUUCUGCCUCUGCCCAGGUUGACCUGAUGUUUUUAGAAGCAGAGAGGCUGCUUGUUGAGUGUGGUGGUAUUUAUAAUAGUGUACAUUAGGCUGCCUCAAACAUCCCUCACUGUCGUACCUUUUAGCCCACUCUAAUGUACCUCUCAGUCUGAUUUCUCCCUACUUGAGUUACAAUAACAAUAGCAACGACUGCCUUUUAAAAAGUUUCCUACCAGGCUUCAUGGUAGGUACUUUACAUGUUUUAGUUUUAUUUAUUUUUUGAGACAGAGUCUCACUCUGUCCCCCAUGCUGGAGUGCAGUGGUGUGAUCAUGGCUCACUGCAGCCUUGAACUCCUGGGCUCAAGUGAGCCUCCUACCUCAGCCAUAGCUGGGACCACAGUAGCUGAGACUACUACCGCACCCGGCUAAUUUUUCUAUUUUUUAUAGAGACGAUGUCUCCCUUUGUUCCCCAGGCUGAUCUCUCCUGGGCUCAAGCAAUCCUCUUGCCUCACUCUCCCAAGGUAUUGGGAUUGCGGGUGUGAGCCACCGUUCCUGACCUUAUACAUUUUAAAUAAUUUAUUCCUCACCUCAAGUGAGUAACAUCCCAAUUUAACAGACAAGGAAACAGAUUGGGCAGGGGAAGUGACUUGCCUCAGACACAUAAUAAAUGGCUCUGCCAGUGUCUUCCUUAGUGCUUCCAGAUCUCCUUGUCACUUUUGUCCUCUCUGCUCCUCUCUGCUCCUCUCUGUUCAGUGCUCCUGGAGCAUGAACUGCAUUAACAGUUCCUUGUCUGGUGGCCUCAAGGUUCCCUAGGAGGUAGGGAGGGUGAGUCUGAGAUAUGCAUUCCCCUCAGGCACAUUCCCCUCUGGCUGCCUUCCUCUGUCUAAGGCCACAGACCCUCAAGAGCUUCCCCAACUGACUUUCCAGGCUCUGAUAGCUGCUGCUUGCCUGCCCCAUCAGGUGUGGGGGGUGCUUUAUGGGUCAACAUUAGCUUAUGUGGUUUCCUUAUAUCCUGUCCGCACCCUUGUUAUUCUCAAAUUAUACUCUGAUUGACCUAUUCUGUAUCCAGUGGGUUGUGACUAUCUAGAGGCAGAGUUGGGAUUUGAACCCCAGGACUUAAAAUAAGCUCUGUGCAAACGGCUUCCCAGAGCUGCUUGCUGUUUUCUUCUGCCAGGCCCGGCAUCUCCAUUCUGGCAUGGACCAUGGUCUGCUGUCAUUUCCACAGCAAUUGCAAGAAAUUGCCAAGUACAUUUUUUGUGACCUCCAGGUGAAUGACCCUGUUAAAAAUGAAAUAACAACAAAAGCAAUUUUUUUUUUUUUUUUGAGAUGGACUUUCACUCUUAUUACCCAGGCUGGAGUGCAAUGGCACUAUCUCGGCUCACUGCAACCUCCGCCUCCUGGGUUCAGGCAAUUCUCCUGCGUCAGCCUCCCGAGUAGCUGGGAUUACAGGCGCGUGCCACCAUGCCCAGCUAAUUUUUGUAUUUUUUGUAGAGACAGGGUUUCACCUUGUUGACCAGGAUGGUCUUGAUCUCUUGACCUCGUGAUCCGCCCCCCUCGGCCUCCCAAAGUGCUGGGAUUAUAGGCGUGAGCCACCACGCCCAGCCGAAAUUUCUUAAUUAAAAUUACAAAACAGAAAAAAAAAAAUGUCACUCUUGGGGGAAGCUGGGUGAAAGGUACUGGAUAUUCUACAUAGUAUUUUUGCAGUUCUCUGUGAAUCAAUAGUUAUUUCCAAAUGUUAAAAAAGACUUUUUUUUGUUUUUCUUUCAUUUUUUUACACUGUAUAGAACUCAAAAAAACUUUAUUACUAAAGCAGAAAAAAACAAGCAGAAUAUGUGGUUCACUGUCGAAGGAAGUACAGAAAGAUAAAAAUAAGAAAACAUUGACACAACUCACUCUACUGUUGAACCUUAUUUUGUUUUAUAUACUUCUAGGUUUUUGUUUUGUUUUGGUUUUUUGAGAGGAGUCUUGCUCUUAUCACCCAGGCUGGAAUGGAAUGAUGCUUUCUCAGUUCACUCUGCUUCCCAGGUUCAAGCAAUCCUCCUGCCUCAGCCUCCCAAGUAGCUGGGACUACAGAUGCCCACCACCACACCCAGCUAAUUUUUGUAGUUUUAGUAGUGAUGGGGUCUUGCCAAGUUGACCAGGCUGGUCUUGAACUCCUGACUUCAAGUGAUCCACUUGCCUAGGCCUCCGAAAGUGCUGGGAUUACAGGUGUGAGCCACCAUGCCUGGCCUAUAAUGCUGUUUUGUAACUUCUGUCAGUUAACCAUCUCCAUUUUUUCACAUCAAUAAUUUCCCAUUUUUCCUCAAAAAUCCUAUACAACUGGCAGGGGAUAUAUGUGACAGGAGGCCAUUUGGUCCUUCAGGUUCUUCCAACCUAGCACCACCCUUUCUUCCCCUUUACCACAGGGGCUUGUCCUGGAGAAUGCCACACCUUCUGGAUUCAUCUGAGUGUUGCCUCCUGGGGGUGUUAUUUCAUUUGUUGCAUCUCCUAUAAAUUGGAGAGUCAAUCUAAAGGCUUGAUAAGAUCAAGUCAAAUAUUUUGGCAAGAAAGCAUCAUAGGUGAUGACGAUGCUGUGCAUAUCAGGCAACAUCACAUAUUUAGUGGACAAAUAAAGUUGUAUAUAUUUAUUGUGUACUACAUGAUGUUUUGAAAUAUGUACACAUUACGGAAUGGCUAAAUCAAGCUAAAGAAAAUAUGCAUUACUUAACUUUUUUUUUUUUUUAAGAGACUGAGUUUUGCUCUUGUUGCUCAGGCUAGAGUGCAGUGACGAAAUCUCAGCUCACUGCAACCUCCACCUCCCCAGUUAGGUUCAAGUGAGUCUCCUGCCUCAGCCUCCCAAGUAGCUGGGAUUACAGGAAUCCGCCUCCAUGCCUGGGUAAUUUUUUGUAUUUAGUAGAGACAGGGUUUCACCAUGUUGGUCAGGCUGGUUGAACUCCUGACCUCAGGUGAUCCACCCGCCUUGGCUUCCCAGAGUGCUGGGAUUACAGGCGUGACACUUCACAUUUUUUUGCUAUGAGAACACAAAAUCCUUUGAGCAAUUUUUAAGUACACAGUAUCUUGUUAUUGACUAUAGUCACCAUGAUGUACAAUAGAGCCCUUGAAAUUAUUCCUCCUCUUUAACUGGAAUUUUGUACCCUUUGAUCAAUAUCUCCUGAACACAAUUUUUUCUGCUCUUCUCCAUGACUAUGACUUAUAUGUGUAGAUGCUACAUAGAAGUGACAUCAUGCAGCCUGGACAACAGAGUGAGUUUUUGGUUUUGUUUCUUUUUCUUUUUCUUUUUCUUUUUGAAACUGUCUCACUCUGUGGCCCAGGCAUGAUCUCAGCUCACCGCAGUUCUGCCUCCUGCACUCAGGUGAUCCUCCCAUUUCAGCCUCCUGAGUAGCUGGGAUUACAGGUGUGCACCACCACACCCAGCUAAUUGUUGUAUAUUUUGUAGAGAUUGGUUUUGCCAAGUUGCCCAGGCUAGUCUUGAACUCCUGGGCUCACACAAUCUGCCUGCCUCAGCCUCCCAAAGUGCUGGAAUUUCAGGCAUGAGCCACCAUACUCAGCUGAGACUCUUUCUACAAAAUAAAAAGUAAUAAGAAAAUUAGCCAGGCAUGGUGGUUGCCUAUAGGCCCAGCUCCUCAGGAGACUGAGAUGGGAGGAUAACUUGAACCCAAAAGGAAAUAAAGUAGGGCCAGGUGUGGUGGCUCAUGCCUAUAAUCCCAGUACUUUGAGAGGCCGAGGCAGGUGGAUCACUUGAGGCCAGGAGUUCGAGACCAGUCUGGCCACUGUGGUGAAACCUCAUCUCUACUAAAACUACAGAAAUUAGCUGGUAACGCAUUCCUGUAAUCCCAGCUACUUGGGAGGCUGAGGUACGAGAAUCACUUAAACCUGGGAGGCAGAGUUUGCAGUAAAUCUAGAUCACACCACUGUACCCCAGCCUGGGCAUCAGAACAAGACCCUGUUUUUUUGUUUUUUUUUUUGAGACAGAGUUUCGCUGUUGUUACCCAGGCUGGAGUGCAAUGGCGUGAUCUCGGCUCACCGCAACCUCCACCUCCUGGGUUCAGGAAAUUCUCCUGCCUCAGCCUCCUGAGUAGCUGGGACUACAGGUGCGCACCACCAUGCCCAGCUAAUUUUUGUAUUUCUAAUAGAGACGGGGUUUCACCUUGUUGACCAGGAUGGUCUCAAUCUCUUGACCUCGUGAUCCACCCACCUCGGCCUCCCAAAGUGCUGGUGCUGGGAUUAUAGGCAUGAGCCACCGCGCCCGGCUAAAAGAUAGUUUCAAACAGCAAGAAGUGGUUUAAAAGGAAGGUAACGUGUGAGGAAUGUGGAAUCUUUUAGAUCAGUGACGAGGGAAGAUCCCUCUGAGGAGGUGACGUGUCAGAUGAGACUUGAAAGAUGUAGAGUCGUCAACCAUGGGAAGAUCUGAGGGAAGAGAAUGUCAGGCAGCAGGAACAGAAAGAGCAAAGGCCCGUGGUAGAACAGAGCUGCCUCAAGAAAGAGAAAACACUGAAAAUCAUGAUGGACUGUUCAAAGACAGAGAAAAGAGCGGUGGCUCACACCUGUAAUCCCAGCACUUUGCGAGGCCAAGGUCAGGAGUUCAAGACCAGCCUGGCCAAGAUGAUGAAACCCUGUCUCUACUAAAAAUACAAAAAUCAGCCGGGCAUGGUGGCGGGUGCUGGUAAUCCCAGCUACUCAGGAGGCUGAGGCAGGGAAUUGCUUGAACCUGGAAGGCUGAGUUUGCAGUGAGCUGAGAUCAUGCCACUGCACUCCAGCCUGGGUGACAGAAGACGACUCUACCUUAAAAAAAAAAAAAAAAAAAAAAAAGCCCGAGUGCAGUGGCUCACAUCUGUAAUCUCAGCACUUUGGGAGGCCGAGAGGGGUGGAUCACGAGGUCAGGAGUUCAAGACCAACCUGGCCAAUAUGGUGAAACCCAUCUCUUCAAAAAAUACAAAAAACAUUUAGCCGGGCAUGGUGGCAUGUAGUCCCAGCUACUCUGGAGGCUGAGGCAGGAGAAUCCCUUGAAGCCAGGAUGCAAAGGUUGCAGUGAGCCAAGAUCAUGCCACUGCACUCUGGCCUGGGCGACAGAGCAAGACCUCAAAAAAAAAAAAAGAAAGAGCUGAAGCACAGUGAAGGGAGAGAUCAUUGGCAGAGGCAGGGAUCACUCACGAUUUUAUUCUGAGUGUGUUUUGAUGUGGGAGGGCAAAGGGUUUCAAGCAGUGGAGUGAAGUGAUCUGAUUUCUGUGCUGGGAGAGCCCCUCUGGCUUUAGGUUCCUGGUGGAGAUUGGACUCUGUUGGUGAAGGGCCAAACAUGGAUGCUGAGCUCUGGUGAGGCAUCCAGCUGAGAGGUGAUGUGUUGGCUCCAGGUGGUGGAAGUGAAGAGUAGUGGACCACAGUGGAGACUGUAGUCCACCACCUGGAUUCCCCUUCGGGACAGAGACUACAGGAUUCGCCUUCAGCCAAGGAGAACCACCUCGCCUAAUAUUGCCUCCUUCACAGGGGCAGCCUACCUCCAAUAUCGUAAGGACCCCAUCUCAUGGCCCUGAUGUGGGCAACUCAGAAGGGCUGUCUCAGCGUCUGAGUUCUGGUGUGCCUGCAUUCCAGCCCCAACAUCCCCUGCGCCCCUCCCCCCUUCACCCUACCCACUUCACAGGUGCUGUGCGGGAGAGUGCUUCCUGGUAAAUCGCCUGGGUGCCCAGCUCUCUUUCUGUUUCCCAGGGAACCCAACCAAAGACACUGAUGGAUCAGAAGAGCAGUACAAAUAGAACGUGACACUCAGUGAGAAGUCCUUGCUCCACAGAUGAUGAUGGUUCAGGGAAGGUCCCAGAGUCUCCAGCAGGUCACAGAACCUCUGGCAGAGCUGAGGUGACCCCAGCUCUCCUCUUCACAGCUCUGUUCCUCUUCCACCUGCAAACCAAGAGAGUCACAAUGGAAUGGCCCAAGGUCUACAAAAACCAGAAAUGUGUCAGCAGGGCACAUUUCUAAGAGAGGAAAUUGCCACUCUUAGUGCUACGAGUCUUUGUGGCUUUGGUUGCAAUUGCGUGGGAGUGUGCCUUUUAGUUUGACAGUGCGCUCUUUUUUUUUUUUUUUUUUUUUUUUUUGAGGCGGAGUUUCGCUCUUGUUACCCAGGCUGGAGUGCAAUGGUGUGAUCUCGGCUCACCGCAACCUCCGCCUCCCGGGUUCAGGUAAUUCUCCUGCCUCAGCCUCCUGAGUAGCUGGGAUUACAGGCACGCACCACCGUGCCCAGCUAACUUUUUGUAUUUUUAGUAGAAACGGGGUUUCACCAUGUUGACCAGGAUGGUCUUGAUCUCUUGACCUCGUGAUCCACCCGCCUUGGCCUCCCAAAGUGCUGGGAUUACAGGUGUGAGCCACCGCGCCCGGCCCGACAGUGUGCUCUUAUAAUUGGAGGAUUAGGUCACUGGCAUUCAAAUCAGUCCCUCCCGAGAGACACUGCCAGUCUAGUUUCUGGUAAGCUUCAAUUUCCCUGUCACUGCAGAGACCCAGCUUUACAUACUGGUGAAACCUUGGCCAGGAACAGUGACCUGAAACAGUGAAACUGUUCUCCUAUUCUAAAUUUGAAACAUUCAGCCCUCUGGGUCUGCAGCUAUCUGCUUCUCACUUGCUGGCUUCUUGGGUCAGAGUGGGGCUGCUUUGAUUUAUUCACUCGCUCACUCAGUCAUGUUAUUCAUCAGACAUCUCUGAUGUUGCUGACCAGGGGCUUAAUAUAUAGACAGAGAGAUGAAGAUGACCCUGCCCUCAAAUGGCUCAUGCCCAGCUUGGGGAGACAGAUGGUCUUCCUAAUGUUUCACUAUGAAUAACUUAUCUUUUUUGGGACCAGUUCAGAAUGCUUUGAAUGUCCCAAAGCAGAGUUUGCUAUUCCCUAGGCAGUGCACAGCCAAGUUAGGUUCUUGAAUAGGAGAGUGGCCUGAUUAAAGGUGUACUUUAGGUUUGUUUAUCUGGUUGCAUAUCCAUUCAUCCAUCCACCCACCCACUCAUCCAUCCAUCCAUCUCAUUUAUCCACUCAUCCAUCCAUUCAUCUCAUCCAUCCAACUAUCCAUCCCAUCUAUCCCAUUCAUCGACCUAUUGGUCCAUCCAUCCAUUCAUCUAUCCAUCUCAUCCAUCCAUCCAUUCGCCCUAUCCAUCCAUCCCCACCCAUCCAUCCAUCCAUUCUAUCCAUCCUAUUAAUCCAUCUAUCCAUCCAUCCCAUCCAUUCAUCUCUCAACUGUCCAUCUAUCCAUCCAUCCCAUCCACUCACCCAUUAUCCAUCUAUCCAUCCCAUCACUCAUCCAUUCACCCAUCCCAGCUAUCUAUUACCCAUCCAUCCAUUCAUCCAUCCACCUCAUCCAUCCAUUCAUCUCAACUAUCCAUUGAUUGCAUCCAUCCAUGGUGAGGUUUCUUUUUUUUAUAUAUAUAUAGAGACGGGGUUUCACCAUGUUGGCCAGGAUGGUCUCGAUCUCUUGACCUGGUGAUCCGCUCGCCUCAGCCUCCCAAAGUGCCACCGCACCCGGCCCUGUCCUUUCUGGAAAGUCCUACUGGGCGAAAAGGAAGCCCUUCCUGGGCUGCCUGCCCUCCGGGAGAAGCCGCGCCCCCUCAGGCUACAGGGCUCCGGGCGCCUGAGGACGCCCAUUGCCGGCGCGCACCCGGAAGUCCCGAGCUCUGGCCCCGCCUUAGAAGCCCCCUCCAUCGCCCCGCCCUGCCCCGCUCUACCGCCCCGCCUCUCCGCUCCACCGAGCCUGCGUAGUGGUCCGUCGGCGCCCGGCUACAGGGCGGCUGUUGCAGUUGGUCUGGCGCAGUGCGCGGCUCCCCUGGCUGCUGGGGUACUGGCUGCGUACGCGGUGAGGGAGUGGGGACGGGGAGGCGCCUUCUGGCUCCGGCUGGAGCCGGCGAGAGCGCGAACGAGCGACGGCAGAAACCGCGGGCCUGUGGACGGCGGCAUCAGCGGCUAGCAGACCCCCUCCACUGAGUAGCACAGCCCUGAGGACAGAGGCAGCAGCCCGGAGAGCAUUUCCAACAGAACUGUACUUAUUGAGAUUUACACAGGAGACUCCCAAGAAGGGAUCAAGGGCAAAGCUGCAGAUACCUACCCAGUAAGAAAGGAUUGGCUGGACUCAUGGGACAGUGAGGGGCAGGUGAGGUGAGGCCCCCUGAGAGUGUGUCCUGAGCGGCAGCCAGAUGAAUGUUGCUAAAAGUGUGCCCUUUUGUAGCUCCACCCGUUGCCUUCCAGACCGCCCGGCAACAUCCCCUGAAGAGCGUGACCUCCCGUCCAUCCGGCAGCCUCUUUUAUGGGAGGGUCGCUUCACUACAGAGCCUGGCAUUUAGCCAAGAUUGCACCACUGCAUUCUAGCCACGGUGACAGAGGAAGACUCCGUCUUGAAAAAGAAACGGUGAAAGAAAACCACUGGAUGGAAAUCUCUCCCAAGCCAGCACCCUGUGAACCCUGAAGAUAACCCAGACGUAUCACAUCCAGCGUGCAAGUGAUUGUUCUGGCACCAUGCCCAGCAAGUGCCAAACCUGGGUCAGAGUCAGGCUGCACUUUACUCAGUGCUCAGUGGUCCUGGCUGCCAGUAGGGAAGCUCUGUUCCCAGGGAGCAGGUCUGAGAAGCAGUGGUGGAGUUCCCUGAGAUACUGUCAUCAGGUAGCCAGCAACAGCAGCAGCGACAGCGGCACACGUAUCCUUUGAAAGAAAUUGUGGUUAUCCAUCAAGAUCCAGAAGCUCUUAAAGAUGUCAAGUCUUUGGAGAAGUAUGUCACUGAGGCUUCCUUAUCCUGAGUUCUUUGGCUGGAGUGAGUGGCUUAACAGUGGAACAGUUUCAGAAAAUCAAGGGCUUUCCUAAUGCUUUCUGAGGUUGGGGUGGAGAAGAUGACGACCUCUGGAACAGAGUCCAGAAUGCAGGCUAUUCUCUGAGCCGGCCAGAGGGUGACACAGGAAAGUCCAAGUCCAUUUCUCAUCACCAUCGAGGAAGAGUCCAGUUUCUUGGAAGGUACGCUCUGCUAAGGAAGUCAAAAGAACGGCAAGGGGCUGGAUGUCCUCAAGAACCUGAACUACUUAAACAUCACAUACGUCGCCUUGUAUAAAGCAUAAGUGUCAACCUGACACCCGAGCUGGCUCAGGUGAACGAGUACUGAGAGGAGAGAAUGUACGUUUGCUUUACCCACCGCCACCAAGAAAGCAGUCUGAUGAGAUUUUUUUUGUGCGGGCGUCUAAGCAGCAAGAGAAUAGAAAUACAGUGUCUCAUGAAGGAUCCCAGGGUUUGGGGGAAAAUGUGACCACACACACACAAACGUCUUCAAUGGAUCAGCUGCUGGGACCGAGGGAGUGAACUUGGGGACUUCCUUCAUCAGCACUGACUUUCUGUUUUCACAAGACAGAGGUCUGUCCCGCUGCUCUCUCCCCGUCUCCUACCCCACAUCCUGUCUUAGCCACAGUCUCCAGAACCCGUGAUGAACUGUGAUCUGCCGUGGAGCCUGUCCCUACCUGUGACCUUGCAGCCUCUUGGCCUUCAGAGCAGAGGCCAACCCAGCACAGGGCAGCUGUGUUUUAGGAAGAGCAAAUGAACUUCACACCAUUCUUCUAUAUUUCUGGUUUGUCUUUGGUUUCAUUUUUUUUUAAAAAAUUACUUCUGGGUGGGGAUUGAGGGUGGAGGGGAGGGUGUUUGGGAAAGAUAAAUAGACAUAAAUAUAUAACAAUCACUUCUUGAAGAAGUAUAAUUGUAAAUAAGCCAUGUAAAAUGCCUUUUUAAAAUUUAAUUUCUAGGUGGCUCCAGUUCAAACCUAGGGUUUAUAUAUUAGACCAUUUAUUUGGUUGGCAAGUGCAGGAACUCAGUUAAAAUGCAGUUGGAGGAUGUCAUCUCCCGAAUGGCUGUCACCUUGGGAAGGGAGUGGAUAUAGGGCACAUCACAAAAGAACAAAAUAACCCGACCUUUAUUGCUGGGAGCUGGCUUCUGCCCCUUUCUUUCUCCCCACGAGUCUUGUCCUUGACUUCUGCUCUGGAUUCACUCUUCCCUAUUGGCCACGUUGGAGGUCAUCCCACUCUCCGCUAAGCGGGAGGCUGCUAUUAGAGCAGGCUGCUUCCUGCCCGAAGCAGGCCCUCCAGGGCUCGCUGCACACACAUCCCUGGCUCUCCAGGCUUCAUGUUUCGUCCUUUGAUCAGCAUGUGGUUUGGGAGGGGGGUUAUAUGGGAACCCCUCCCCCCUUUUUUUCUCUGGAAACUUGGCCACAGUUUCUGAACAAUGUGCCUACAUUACCAGCUGGUUUCAGUGAUUCCUCUGUUUCCCUUUUUAGUUCCUGGAAAGACUGUCAACAUUAGUAACUGAUACAGAGAACCAAGGAGCACUGGAGUAGGAAAGAAUUCAGCCAGGGAGCCAGUGACACUUGUGUGCUGUGGGGCAGCUGGGAUCCAGGAAAGACCGGAUGGAAGCUUUGAAAUUAGACCAACAAAGCUCCAGAUGGCAAGAGCCCAGGUGCGCUGCUUACACCCGCACCUGCAUUUUCAAGUCAUAUUCUUUUUUUUUUUUUUUUUUUUAAGUCAGGGUCUGGCUCUGUCACCUGGGCUGGAGUACAUCGGCACCAUCACAGCUGACUGCAGCCUCAUCUCCCAGGCUCAAGCCAUUUCCUACCUCAGCCUUCCAUGUAGCUGGGACUACAGGUGCACACCCCCAUGCCUGGCUAAUGUUUUUUAUUUUUAAUAGAGCUGGGGUUUCGCCAUGUUGCCCCGACUCCUCUCACACUCCUAGACUCAAGCAAUCCGCCCACCUUGACUUCCAAAGUGCUGGGAUUACGGGCAGGUGUGAGCCAUCAUGCCCAGCCUUGAAGUCAUAUUCUAAAUUGUAUUUGAAUUUGCGCCUCUUUGUUUUUCCCUCAAAGCCCUCAAUUUGUAGUCCCUGUCCGCUUCUGCAGAAUCUGGAAAAUGCCAGUUUUCCUCUUGCCCUUCUUUUCUAUACAACAUAUUUAUAUAUUGUGGUGAGGAGUACUUUCUGAAGAGUACUUUGUAUUAAUUUUAAUUGCCUUGUUUGCCUUCAACUUCCUUGAUUUUCACAGUUUACAUGGGUGUGUUUGUGUGUGUGUGUGUGUAUAUACUUGUGGGUUAGGGCUUUUGUGCCUCAUGUGUUGGUUCUGUGAACAUAUGAUCCCGCAAACUGUGGGAGUGAUUGGCCAGGCCUUGUUUUCAUGUUUGUGUUUUCUUUUGAAGAAUACAGUGGUAUUGGAAAUAAAUUGCAUUGCAAAGCUCUUAUCGGCUCAUAUGAGAGAGCAGGCUCCUGCCCUUGAAAAUGCUGGUUAGCUAUAGCCUAUGUAUUUUUAAGCUUUUAAGCAUUUCAUGCUUUAAAAUACCUUCACAAGGGAACGUUACACCCAGAGGUUCAUUUGGUUUUCCUUUGUUUUAGGGUGCAUAUAGCAGUAAAGGACCCCCGACCACAUUUCGCCCUCCAUCGUGCAACCCCGCCCCCACCAGGCCUUUGUCCCUGCCUCAGCUUUUCUCCCCGUCUCAUUCUCCUAUCCCUUUUCCUCACUGAAGGCUGUGGUGAGUUGCUUUCAUUGUGACAACACUGUGAUGUCAUUUGGAAGGAUUUGCCAGUACAGACUGAUUCUGAGUUACAGGCGGCAGUGUUGUUUGAAGCUCUACGUUACUAUAAUUACUGUCAAGUACACACUGUUGGCAAAAGAUUAACAGCAGACUUUUAAAAUACUGAUUUGAGAACAAAAGGGAAGGGUCUCUUUUCACUGCUUAAAGUGGGGUCACAUGGACACCCUUGCAGUCAUAAGUCCGUCUGAUGAGUGUGGAAUCUCUGAAUGUAACUGUCAUGCUAAUUCCAGAUCUUGAAUACUAUAUGGGAUAUGUUACAGUUCAAAAUGUACAGCCAGGCCCCUGUGCUGUUAAUAGCGUGGAAUUGUCAUUAAAAAAAACAGGAACCAAAUGUGACCUUGUGCACAUGUUGACAGCUGAAAUUCUUAUGGCCCCUUAAAUUAAUCUUGUCUUUGAUUGCUGUGUGCCGGGAAAGGUGUCCCUGUUGAUGCUGUUUUUGGGGGAAAGGGGGUACUUGCAAGAAUACUCAGUUUGAAAUAAUAGGUCCUGUUGUCAGAGAUCCUCUACCACAGACAUGAAUAGUUGAGCAGCAGCCACAAGGAUUGAUUGUAUCCACCACAUUGACAAUAGCAUUGAGCAUAGCUAGCUUAUUUUCAUGACUACGUGUUUUUGAGCUCGCUCUUAUGUUUUAAGAGGUGCCAGGGGUUCAUUUUUGCACUGAAAUCUAAAGAUGUUUUAAAAAAAGUUUCACAGAAAAUAGUCCUUUCUCAUUACAUUAUUUACUCAUGUGUUUGUACAUUUUUGUAUUUUAAUUUAUGAAUGAUUUUUUCAGUAAAAACUACAUACUCAAGAACCAAA